GAUGAACGCUGGUGGCGUGCCUAAUACAUGCAAGUCGAGCGAAUGGAUUAAGAGCUUGCUCUUAUGAAGUUAGCGGCGGACGGGUGAGUAACACGUGGGUAACCUGCCCAUAAGACUGGGAUAACUCCGGGAAACCGGGGCUAAUACCGGAUAACAUUUUGAACCGCAUGGUUCGAAAUUGAAAGGCGGCUUCGGCUGUCACUUAUGGAUGGACCCGCGUCGCAUUAGCUAGUUGGUGAGGUGACGGCUCUCCAAGGCAACGAUGCGUAGCCGACCUGAGAGGGUGAUCGGCCACACUGGGACUGAGACACGGCCCAGACUCCUACGGGAGGCAGCAGUAGGGAAUCUUCCGCAAUGGACGAAAGUCUGACGGAGCAACGCCGCGUGAGUGAUGAAGGCUUUCGGGUCGUAAAACUCUGUUGUUAGGGAAGAACAAGUGCUAGUUGAAUAAGCUGGCACCUUGACGGUACCUAACCAGAAAGCCACGGCUAACUACGUGCCAGCCGCCGCGGUAA
rnacentral:rRNA from 1 species